rnacentral:rRNA from 1 species
AACGAACGCUGGCGGCAGGCUUGACACAUGCAAGUCGAGCGCCCCGCAAGGGGAGCGGCAGACGGGUGAGUAACGCGUGGGAACGUACCCUUUGCUACGGAAUAGCUCCGGGAAACUGGAAUUAAUACCGUAUGUGCCCUACGGGGGAAAGAUUUAUCGGCAAAGGAUCGGCCCGCGUUGGAUUAGCUAGUUGGUGGGGUAAUGGCCUACCAAGGCGACGAUCCAUAGCUGGUCUGAGAGGAUGAUCAGCCACAUUGGGACUGAGACACGGCCCAAACUCCUACGGGAGGCAGCAGUGGGGAAUAUUGGACAAUGGGCGCAAGCCUGAUCCAGCCAUGCCGCGUGAGUGAUGAAGGCCUUAGGGUUGUAAAGCUCUUUCACCGGGGAAGAUAUUGACGGUAUCCGGAGAAGUAGCCCCGGCUAACUUCGUGCCAGCCGCCGCCGUAACAC